GAUGAACGCUGGCGGCGUGCCUAACACAUGCAAGUCGAGCGGCAGCGAGGGGUGCUUGCACCCUGUCGGCGAGCGGCGGACGGCUGAGUAACGCGUGGGAACGUGCCCCAAAGUGAGGAAUAACUGCCCGAAAGGGUAGCUAAUACCGCAUAUUAUCUUCGGAUCAAAGGAUUUAUCCGCUUUGGGAGCGGCUCGCGUCGGAUUAGGUAGUUGGUGAGGUAAUGGCUCACCAAGCCGACGAUCCGUGGCUGGUCUGAGAGGAUGACCAGCCAGACUGGAACUGAGACACGGUCCAGACUCCUACGGGAGGCAGCAGUGAGGAAUCUUCCACAAUGGGCGAAAGCCUGAUGGAGCAACGCCGCGUGCAGGACGAAGGCCUUCGGGUUGUAAACUGCUUUUAUAAGUGAGGAAUAUGACGGUAACUUAUGAAUAAGGAUCGGCUAACUACGUG
rnacentral:rRNA from 1 species